GGCCUAACACAUGCAAGUCGAAUGGUAACAGGAAACAGCUUGCUGUUUCGCUGACGAGUGGCGGACGGGUGAGUAAUGUCUGGGAAACUGCCUGAUGGAGGGGGAUAACUACUGGAAACGGUAGCUAAUACCGCAUAACGUCGCAAGACCAAAGAGGGGGACCUUCGGGCCUCUUGCCAUCAGAUGUGCCCAGAUGGGAUUAGCUAGUAGGUGGGGUAACGGCUCACCUAGGCGACGAUCCCUAGCUGGUCUGAGAGGAUGACCAGCCACACUGGAACUGAGACACGGUCCAGACUCCUACGGGAGGCAGCAGUGGGGAAUAUUGCACAAUGGGCGCAAGCCUGAUGCAGCCAUGCCGCGUGUAUGAAGAAGGCCUUCGGGUUGUAAAGUACUUUCAGCGGGGAGGAAGGGAGUAAAGUUAAUACCUUUGCUCAUUGACGUUACCCGCAGAAGAAGCACCGGCUAACUCCGUGCCAGCAGCCGCGGUAAUACGGAGGGUGCAAGCGUUAAUCGGAAUUACUGGGCGUAAAGCGCACGCAGGCGGUUUGUUAAGUCAGAUGUGAAAUCCCCGGGCUCAACCUGGGAACUGCAUCUGAUACUGGCAAGCUUGAGUCUCGUAGAGGGGGGUAGAAUUCCAGGUGUAGCGGUGAAAUGCGUAGAGAUCUGGAGGAAUACCGGUGGCGAAGGCGGCCCCCUGGACGAAGACUGACGCUCAGGUGCGA
rnacentral:rRNA from 1 species